rnacentral:rRNA from 1 species
UACGGGGGGGGCAAGCGUUGUUCGGAAUUACUGGGCGUAAAGGGCUCGUAGGCGGCCAACUAAGUCAGACGUGAAAUCCCUCGGCUUAACCGGGGAACUGCGUCUGAUACUGGAUGGCUAGAGUGUGGGAGUGGGAUGCGGAAUUCCAGGUGUAGCGGUGAAAUGCGUAGAUAUCUGGAGGAACACCGGUGGCGAAGGCGGCAUCCUGGACCACGACUGACGCUGAGUGAGCGAAAGCCAGGGGAGCAAACGGG